AGAACCUUGUCAGUUCAUAAAUUUAAAGCAACUCCAUUUCCUUUGCUUUUGAACAAUCCAAACUGGAUGGUGGAUAUACAUUGGAACAAUCAGAAAGCAUUCCAGACAGCUUAUUACGAUGCAUAACAUUUGACCAACAUAAAUUCAAAGUCGAGCAAAUGAAGGCAAAAAGGCAGAAGGGAAGAGUGAAAGUGGACCCAGAAAUAGGGCGAAGCAUGUCUGCCACACUCAUCUACCUGCUGACCAUGGUGAACCUCAUGGUGAGCUGUUGACCACAGGAUUCACCACAGAAUUCACUCUCCAGAAGACAAAAACUGCUGUGGAGAUUGGAAAAUUUAUCUUAAAAUAUUAAGGUCAGACAAGAACCUCUGUCAAGGAACAGGAAGUCAUGCCCUGAAGAGACAAGUAGAGGCUGUAGCCAUGGGUGGCUUUGGGGUAGUAGCUGUUGGCUGUGCCUAGAAGGACAUCAUGAAAGUUGUAAGUGCUGCUAAUUGACGUCCCCCAAUUCAUAUGCGGAAGCCCUGGCCCCUAGUACCUCAAGAUGUGCUUGGUUUUGGAGCUGGGGUCUUUAAAGAGUUUUCCAACCACAAAGGGCCCAGAGUUUCCCUUGUGAAUGAGCUCAGCAUCCUCACGUUUCCAAGAGGAAUCAACACCGCAAUUCCUCGGACCACGGUGGCUCUCUUCCCAGCACACCCUUGCUGUGACCUGCACCCCUGCAUUGUCCUCAAAGACACACUAAGAAAACACAGUUCAGAAGGAAGGACGUAACGGAGCUCAUGAUCCAGUUCUGCAUUUGGCGUGGCCCCAAAGACACUGUGUGCAGAGUCAGAAAUAUGCUCCCCAGUUGGACUCCAUGGGAUACUGUUUCAAAAGAGCUAUCAUUCUUGUCUGUUUACCACAUAUCUUGUUGUAAUAGGCUCUUCUUUUCCAGAAUUUUUAAUUUUCCCUGGCAUUUUGUGUUUUGGUAAUUGCCUACAAGAAUAGUUCUAUAACAUAAAUCAACAAUGAAAACCAAAUUACCCCUGCCCACAUCCUUUCAUUCCUUUUUCAUCUCUAAUGAUAUUUUCUGUAUGAUGACUAACCCAGACUGACGUAAUUUAUCAAUUGAUCUUGACGAUGUACAUUAGAAAAUACAUUCUGCAGGCCCCAGCAGGCCAUCCUCCAUGUGCGCCACGUAGCUUUAGAAAACCUAUUAGUGCAACAGAAAUAUCUAAAGCCCAGCCUUUUUGCUAAGAAUAUUAGAACUGGUGCUAAUUACUUUAUUAAUCAUAAAGUGAAACAGCCGUGCUAUGUCACCACAGCCGUAAAAUAAGUGGUUUUAUGGCAAAAGUAGUUAAAGAGAAAGGACAGAUUGGAUUUAUAAUACUCAGCUGGUUAAAAAAAAGAAAUUAUGCAUACCAGCAAUUUUCUUUCUUUGGUUAAAUGUUCAUUAAAUGUGUACCACUAAAAACCAUUUGUAACUAAUUCCCUAGUGGGUCCAUGCCUUAAAAUAAUUUAUUUUAAAAUACAAAUUAAGGCUUAAAUUUGCCUUUUUAUUAAAAAUAGGUAUAAUGAGUCAACAUAUCUCCUAAGAGAAAGGAGCGUUGCAGACAUGCUGAUGAGAGGAAUCUUGUCGCCAAAACCUGGAGGCCAUGCUGGUGUUGGGGACUUAGGCUAUCCUGCAGGUGCCUGUCACCAUUAAGGGCGGCAGAAUUCAGAGGCUUUGGUCCAGGUUAAAGCACAGAGGCGGCCACUGUCUGAAGACAGGGACACCACAAUGACCAUCAUUGAGGGCAAUGUUUAUGCUUCCAUUGUUAGUUUAGAUAUUUUGUUUUCUUUAAAGUCAGUAUUGUCUCUGAGUAAAUAAAACAAUCUCCAGUUUCUAC
rnacentral:lncRNA from 1 species